GACGAACGCUGGCGGCGUGCUUAACACAUGCAAGUCGAACGGAAAGGCCCUUCGGGGUACUCGAGUGGCGAACGGGAGAGUAACACGUGGGUGAUCUGCCCUGCACUUUGGGAUAAGCCUGGGAAACUGGGUCUAAUACCGAAUAUGACCGCGCUCUUCAUGGGGUGUGGUGGAAAGCUUUUGCGGUGUGGGAUGGGCCCGCGGCCUAUCAGCUUGUUGGUGGGGUAAUGGCCUACCAAGGCGACGACGGGUAGCCGGCCUGAGAGGGUGACCGGCCACACUGGGACUGAGAUACGGCCCAGACUCCUACGGGAGACAGCAGUGGGGAAUAUUGCACAAUGGGCGCAAGCCUGAUGCAGCGACGCCGCGUGAGGGAUGACGGCCUUCGGGUUGUAAACCUCUUUCAAUAGGGACGAAGCGCAAGUGACGGUACCUAUAGAAGAAGGACCGGCCAACUACGUGCCAGCCGCCGCAGUAA
rnacentral:rRNA from 1 species